rnacentral:piRNA from 1 species
AGUAUUGAAUGUGGUGCUAGUCCAGG